rnacentral:rRNA from 1 species
AGAUUGAACGCUGGCGGCAUGCCUUACACAUGCAAGUCGAACGGCAGCACGGGGGCAACCCUGGUGGCGAGUGGCGAACGGGUGAGUAAUAUAUCGGAACGUGCCCUGGAGUGGGGGAUAACGUAGCGAAAGUUACGCUAAUACCGCAUACGAUCUAAGGAUGAAAGUGGGGGAUCGCAAGACCUCAUGCUCCUGGAGCGGCCGAUAUCUGAUUAGCUAGUUGGUAGGUAAAAGCCUACCAAGGCAUCGAUCAGUAGCUGGUCUGAGAGGACGACCAGCCACACUGGGACUGAGACACGGCCCAGACUCCUACGGGAGGCAGCAGUGGGAAUUUUGGACAAUGGGGCAACCUGAUCCAGCAAUGCCGCGUGAGUGAAGAAGGCCUUCGGUUGUAAAGCUCGUUUUGUCAAGGAAGUAAACGGUACCUUUACGUAAUAUAAGUAGGUACUAAGUGACGGUACCUAGAAG